rnacentral:rRNA from 1 species
GACGAAUGCUGGCGGCGUGCUUAACACAUGCAAGUCGAGCGGUAAGGCCCUUUCGGGGGUACGACGAGCGGCGAACGGGUGAGUAACACGUGGGUGACCUGCCCUCAGCUCUGGGAUAAGCCUGGGAAACCGGGUCUAAUACCGGAUAUGACUCCAUGACGCAUGUUGUGGGGUGGAAAGCCUUGUGCGGCUGAGGAUGGGCCCGCGGCCUAUCAGCUUGUUGGUGGGGUGANGGGCCUACCAAGGCGACGACGGGUAGCCGGCCUGAGAGGGCGACCGGCCACACUGGGACUGAGACACGGCCCAGACUCCUACGGGAGGCAGCAGUGGGGAAUCUUGCGCAAUGGGCGAAAGCCUGACGCAGCGACGCCGCGUGAGGGAUGACGGCCU